AUGACGUUUUAUUAUUUUUUGCUACCUGAGGGGGUGGUCGUGGGUACCGACUAUUGCCAAAUCCCAUUUACACUCAAUCUGGUACGGUCAGGGCGUUAACACUGAACACCCAAAAUGGUCAAAAAUAACGUUUUAUUAAAUUUUGCCUCCUGAGGGGGUGGUCGUGGGUACCGACUAUUGUCAAAUCCCAUUUACACUCAAUCUGGUACGGUCAGGGCGUUAACACUGAACACCCAAAAUGGUCAAAAAUAACGUUUUAUUAAAUUUUGCCUCCUGAGGGGGUGGUCGUGGGUACCGACUAUUGUCAAAUCCCAUUUACACUCAAUCUGGUACGGUCAGGGCGUUAACACUGAACACCCAAAAUGGUCAAAAAUAACGUUUAAUUAAAUUUUGCUUCCUGAGGGGGUGGUCGUGGGUACCGACUAUUGCCAAAUCCCAUUUACACUCAAUCUGGUACGGUCAGGGCGUUAACACUGAACACCCAAAAUGGUCAAAAAUAACGUUUUAUUAAAUUUUGCUUCCUGAGGGGGUGGUCGUGGGUACCGACUAUUGCCAAAUCCCAUUUACACUCAAUCUGGUACGGUCAGGGCGUUAACACUGAACACCCAAAAUGGUCAAAAAUAACGUUUUAUUAAAUUUUGCUUCCUGAGGGGGUGGUCGUGGGUACCGACUAUUGCCAAAUCCCAUUUACACUCAAUCUGGUACGGUCAGGGCGUUAACACUGAACACCCAAAAUGGUCAAAAAUAACGUUUUAUUAAAUUUUGCUUCCUGAGGGGGUGGUCGUGGGUACCGACUAUUGCCAAAUCCCAUUUACACUCAAUCUGGUACGGUCAGGGCGUUAACACUGAACACCCAAAAUGGUCAAAAAUAACGUUUUAUUAAAUUUUGCUUCCUGAGGGGGUGGUCGUGGGUACCGACUAUUGCCAAAUCCCAUUUACACUCAAUCUGGUACGGUCAGGGCGUUAACACUGAACACCCAAAAUGGUCAAAAAUAACGUUUUAUUAAAUUUUGCCUCCUGAGGGGGUGGUCGUGGGUACCGACUAUUGCCAAAUCCCAUUUACACUCAAUCUGGUACGGUCAGGGCGUUAACACUGAACACCCAAAAUGGUCAAAAAUAACGUUUUAUUAAAUUUUGCCUCCUGAGGGGGUGGUCGUGGGUACCGACUAUUGCCAAAUCCCAUUUACACUCAAUCUGGUACGGUCAGGGCGUUAACACUGAACACCCAAAAUGGUCAAAAAUAACGUUUUAUUAAAUUUUGCUUCCUGAGGGGGUGGUCGUGGGUACCGACUAUUGCCAAAUCCCAUUUACACUCAAUCUGGUACGGUCAGGGCGUUAACACUGAACACCCAAAAUGGUCAAAAAUAACGUUUUAUUAAAUUUUGCCUCCUGAGGGGGUGGUCGUGAAGUGAAGUGAAGUGAUUUUUUUUUGAAAGAUGUGCACCACGUGGAUGGUGGUAAAAAUCACAUUAACCAUUUUACAUGGUUAUUUUGAGAAAAAUCUUUUUUGACUUAAAAAUAAAGCCCCUUAGUCGUCGACUAACCGUGACUAAGGAGGACGACAGGGCUGAUCAAAUUUUUUUUGUCAAUUUGAAUUGCCCAAAAUGCUCUCAAAUGACGUUUUAUUAUUUUUUGCUACCUGAGGGGGUGGUCGUGGGUACCGACUAUUGCCAAAUCCCAUUUACACUCAAUCUGGUACGGUCAGGGCGUUAACACUGAACACCCAAAAUGGUCAAAAAUAACGUUUUAUUAAAUUUUGCCUCCUGAGGGGGUGGUCGUGGGUACCGACUAUUGCCAAAUCCCAUUUACACUCAAUCUGGUACGGUCAGGGCGUUAACACUGAACACCCAAAAUGGUCAAAAAUAACGUUUUAUUAAAUUUUGCCUCCUGAGGGGGUGGUCGUGGGUACCGACUAUUGUCAAAUCCCAUUUACACUCAAUCUGGUACGGUCAGGGCGUUAACACUGAACACCCAAAAUGGUCAAAAAUAACGUUUAAUUAAAUUUUGCUUCCUGAGGGGGUGGUCGUGGGUACCGACUAUUGCCAAAUCCCAUUUACACUCAAUCUGGUACGGUCAGGGCGUUAACACUGAACACCCAAAAUGGUCAAAAAUAACGUUUUAUUAAAUUUUGCUUCCUGAGGGGGUGGUCGUGGGUACCGACUAUUGCCAAAUCCCAUUUACACUCAAUCUGGUACGGUCAGGGCGUUAACACUGAACACCCAAAAUGGUCAAAAAUAACGUUUUAUUAAAUUUUGCUUCCUGAGGGGGUGGUCGUGGGUACCGACUAUUGCCAAAUCCCAUUUACACUCAAUCUGGUACGGUCAGGGCGUUAACACUGAACACCCAAAAUGGUCAAAAAUAACGUUUUAUUAAAUUUUGCCUCCUGAGGGGGUGGUCGUGGGUACCGACUAUUGUCAAAUCCCAUUUACACUCAAUCUGGUACGGUCAGGGCGUUAACACUGAACACCCAAAAUGGUCAAAAAUAACGUUUUAUUAAAUUUUGCUUCCUGAGAAGGUGGUCGUGAAGUGAAGUGAAGUGAUUUUUUUUUGAAAGAUGUGCACCACGUGGAUGGUGGUAAAAAUCACAUUAACCAUUUUACAUGGUUAUUUUGAGAAAAAUCUUUUUUGACUUAAAAAUAAAGCCCCUUAGUCGUCGACUAACCGUGACUAAGGAGGACGACAGGGCUGAUCAAAUUUUUUUUGUCAAUUUGAAUUGCCCAAAAUGCUCUCAAAUGACGUUUUAUUAUUUUUUGCUACCUGAGGGGGUGGUCGUGGGUACCGACUAUUGCCAAAUCCCAUUUACACUCAAUCUGGUACGGUCAGGGCGUUAACACUGAACACCCAAAAUGGUCAAAAAUAACGUUUUAUUAAAUUUUGCUUCCUGAGAAGGUGGUCGUGAAGUGAAGUGAAGUGAUUUUUUUUUGAAAGAUGUGCACCACGUGGAUGGUGGUAAAAAUCACAUUAACCAUUUUACAUGGUUAUUUUGAGAAAAAUCUUUUUUGACUUAAAAAUAAAGCCCCUUAGUCGUCGACUAACCGUGACUAAGGAGGACGACAGGGCUGAUCAAAUUUUUUUUGUCAAUUUGAAUUGCCCAAAAUGCUCUCAAAUGACGUUUUAUUAUUUUUUGCUACCUGAGGGGGUGGUCGUGGGUACCGACUAUUGCCAAAUCCCAUUUACACUCAAUCUGGUACGGUCAGGGCGUUAACACUGAACACCCAAAAUGGUCAAAAAUAACGUUUUAUUAAAUUUUGCCUCCUGAGGGGGUGGUCGUGGGUACCGACUAUUGCCAAAUCCCAUUUACACUCAAUCUGGUACGGUCAGGGCGUUAACACUGAACACCCAAAAUGGUCAAAAAUAACGUUUUAUUAAAUUUUGCCUCCUGAGGGGGUGGUCGUGGGUACCGACUAUUGUCAAAUCCCAUUUACACUCAAUCUGGUACGGUCAGGGCGUUAACACUGAACACCCAAAAUGGUCAAAAAUAACGUUUAAUUAAAUUUUGCUUCCUGAGGGGGUGGUCGUGGGUACCGACUAUUGCCAAAUCCCAUUUACACUCAAUCUGGUACGGUCAGGGCGUUAACACUGAACACCCAAAAUGGUCAAAAAUAACGUUUUAUUAAAUUUUGCUUCCUGAGGGGGUGGUCGUGGGUACCGACUAUUGCCAAAUCCCAUUUACACUCAAUCUGGUACGGUCAGGGCGUUAACACUGAACACCCAAAAUGGUCAAAAAUAACGUUUUAUUAAAUUUUGCUUCCUGAGGGGGUGGUCGUGGGUACCGACUAUUGCCAAAUCCCAUUUACACUCAAUCUGGUACGGUCAGGGCGUUAACACUGAACACCCAAAAUGGUCAAAAAUAACGUUUUAUUAAAUUUUGCCUCCUGAGGGGGUGGUCGUGGGUACCGACUAUUGUCAAAUCCCAUUUACACUCAAUCUGGUACGGUCAGGGCGUUAACACUGAACACCCAAAAUGGUCAAAAAUAACGUUUUAUUAAAUUUUGCUUCCUGAGAAGGUGGUCGUGAAGUGAAGUGAAGUGAUUUUUUUUUGAAAGAUGUGCACCACGUGGAUGGUGGUAAAAAUCACAUUAACCAUUUUACAUGGUUAUUUUGAGAAAAAUCUUUUUUGACUUAAAAAUAAAGCCCCUUAGUCGUCGACUAACCGUGACUAAGGAGGACGACAGGGCUGAUCAAAUUUUUUUUGUCAAUUUGAAUUGCCCAAAAUGCUCUCAAAUGACGUUUUAUUAUUUUUUGCUACCUGAGGGGGUGGUCGUGGGUACCGACUAUUGCCAAAUCCCAUUUACACUCAAUCUGGUACGGUCAGGGCGUUAACACUGAACACCCAAAAUGGUCAAAAAUAACGUUUUAUUAAAUUUUGCCUCCUGAGGGGGUGGUCGUGGGUACCGACUAUUGUCAAAUCCCAUUUACACUCAAUCUGGUACGGUCAGGGCGUUAACACUGAACACCCAAAAUGGUCAAAAAUAACGUUUUAUUAAAUUUUGCUUCCUGAGAAGGUGGUCGUGAAGUGAAGUGAAGUGAUUUUUUUUUGAAAGAUGUGCACCACGUGGAUGGUGGUAAAAAUCACAUUAACCAUUUUACAUGGUUAUUUUGAGAAAAAUCUUUUUUGACUUAAAAAUAAAGCCCCUUAGUCGUCGACUAACCGUGACUAAGGAGGACGACAGGGCUGAUCAAAUUUUUUUUGUCAAUUUGAAUUGCCCAAAAUGCUCUCAAAUGACGUUUUAUUAUUUUUUGCUACCUGAGGGGGUGGUCGUGGGUACCGACUAUUGCCAAAUCCCAUUUACACUCAAUCUGGUACGGUCAGGGCGUUAACACUGAACACCCAAAAUGGUCAAAAAUAACGUUUUAUUAAAUUUUGCCUCCUGAGGGGGUGGUCGUGGGUACCGACUAUUGUCAAAUCCCAUUUACACUCAAUCUGGUACGGUCAGGGCGUUAACACUGAACACCCAAAAUGGUCAAAAAUAACGUUUUAUUAAAUUUUGCCUCCUGAGGGGGUGGUCGUGGGUACCGACUAUUGCCAAAUCCCAUUUACACUCAAUCUGGUACGGUCAGGGCGUUAACACUGAACACCCAAAAUGGUCAAAAAUAACGUUUUAUUAAAUUUUGCCUCCUGAGGGGGUGGUCGUGGGUACCGACUAUUGUCAAAUCCCAUUUACACUCAAUCUGGUACGGUCAGGGCGUUAACACUGAACACCCAAAAUGGUCAAAAAUAACGUUUUAUUAAAUUUUGCUUCCUGAGGGGGUGGUCGUGGGUACCGACUAUUGCCAAAUCCCAUUUACACUCAAUCUGGUACGGUCAGGGCGUUAACACUGAACACCCAAAAUGGUCAAAAAUAACGUUUUAUUAAAUUUUGCUUCCUGAGGGGGUGGUCGUGGGUACCGACUAUUGCCAAAUCCCAUUUACACUCAAUCUGGUACGGUCAGGGCGUUAACACUGAACACCCAAAAUGGUCAAAAAUAACGUUUUAUUAAAUUUUGCCUCCUGAGGGGGUGGUCGUGGGUACCGACUAUUGCCAAAUCCCAUUUACACUCAAUCUGGUACGGUCAGGGCGUUAACACUGAACACCCAAAAUGGUCAAAAAUAACGUUUUAUUAAAUUUUGCUUCCUGAGGGGGUGGUCGUGGGUACCGACUAUUGCCAAAUCCCAUUUACACUCAAUCUGGUACGGUCAGGGCGUUAACACUGAACACCCAAAAUGGUCAAAAAUAACGUUUUAUUAAAUUUUGCUUCCUGAGGGGGUGGUCGUGGGUACCGACUAUUGCCAAAUCCCAUUUACACUCAAUCUGGUACGGUCAGGGCGUUAACACUGAACACCCAAAAUGGUCAAAAAUAACGUUUUAUUAAAUUUUGCUUCCUGAGGGGGUGGUCGUGGGUACCGACUAUUGCCAAAUCCCAUUUACACUCAAUCUGGUACGGUCAGGGCGUUAACACUGAACACCCAAAAUGGUCAAAAAUAACGUUUUAUUAAAUUUUGCCUCCUGAGGGGGUGGUCGUGGGUACCGACUAUUGCCAAAUCCCAUUUACACUCAAUCUGGUACGGUCAGGGCGUUAACACUGAACACCCAAAAUGGUCAAAAAUAACGUUUUAUUAAAUUUUGCUUCCUGAGGGGGUGGUCGUGGGUACCGACUAUUGCCAAAUCCCAUUUACACUCAAUCUGGUACGGUCAGGGCGUUAACACUGAACACCCAAAAUGGUCAAAAAUAACGUUUUAUUAAAUUUUGCCUCCUGAGGGGGUGGUCGUGAAGUGAAGUGAAGUGAUUUUUUUUUGAAAGAUGUGCACCACGUGGAUGGUGGUAAAAAUCACAUUAACCAUUUUACAUGGUUAUUUUGAGAAAAAUCUUUUUUGACUUAAAAAUAAAGCCCCUUAGUCGUCGACUAACCGUGACUAAGGAGGACGACAGGGCUGAUCAAAUUUUUUUUGUCAAUUUGAAUUGCCCAAAAUGCUCUCAAAUGACGUUUUAUUAUUUUUUGCUACCUGAGGGGGUGGUCGUGGGUACCGACUAUUGCCAAAUCCCAUUUACACUCAAUCUGGUACGGUCAGGGCGUUAACACUGAACACCCAAAAUGGUCAAAAAUAACGUUUUAUUAAAUUUUGCCUCCUGAGGGGGUGGUCGUGGGUACCGACUAUUGCCAAAUCCCAUUUACACUCAAUCUGGUACGGUCAGGGCGUUAACACUGAACACCCAAAAUGGUCAAAAAUAACGUUUUAUUAAAUUUUGCCUCCUGAGGGGGUGGUCGUGGGUACCGACUAUUGUCAAAUCCCAUUUACACUCAAUCUGGUACGGUCAGGGCGUUAACACUGAACACCCAAAAUGGUCAAAAAUAACGUUUAAUUAAAUUUUGCUUCCUGAGGGGGUGGUCGUGGGUACCGACUAUUGCCAAAUCCCAUUUACACUCAAUCUGGUACGGUCAGGGCGUUAACACUGAACACCCAAAAUGGUCAAAAAUAACGUUUUAUUAAAUUUUGCUUCCUGAGGGGGUGGUCGUGGGUACCGACUAUUGCCAAAUCCCAUUUACACUCAAUCUGGUACGGUCAGGGCGUUAACACUGAACACCCAAAAUGGUCAAAAAUAACGUUUUAUUAAAUUUUGCUUCCUGAGGGGGUGGUCGUGGGUACCGACUAUUGCCAAAUCCCAUUUACACUCAAUCUGGUACGGUCAGGGCGUUAACACUGAACACCCAAAAUGGUCAAAAAUAACGUUUUAUUAAAUUUUGCUUCCUGAGGGGGUGGUCGUGGGUACCGACUAUUGCCAAAUCCCAUUUACACUCAAUCUGGUACGGUCAGGGCGUUAACACUGAACACCCAAAAUGGUCAAAAAUAACGUUUUAUUAAAUUUUGCUUCCUGAGGGGGUGGUCGUGGGUACCGACUAUUGCCAAAUCCCAUUUACACUCAAUCUGGUACGGUCAGGGCGUUAACACUGAACACCCAAAAUGGUCAAAAAUAACGUUUUAUUAAAUUUUGCCUCCUGAGGGGGUGGUCGUGGGUACCGACUAUUGCCAAAUCCCAUUUACACUCAAUCUGGUACGGUCAGGGCGUUAACACUGAACACCCAAAAUGGUCAAAAAUAACGUUUUAUUAAAUUUUGCUUCCUGAGGGGGUGGUCGUGGGUACCGACUAUUGCCAAAUCCCAUUUACACUCAAUCUGGUACGGUCAGGGCGUUAACACUGAACACCCAAAAUGGUCAAAAAUAACGUUUUAUUAAAUUUUGCCUCCUGAGGGGGUGGUCGUGGGUACCGACUAUUGCCAAAUCCCAUUUACACUCAAUCUGGUACGGUCAGGGCGUUAACACUGAACACCCAAAAUGGUCAAAAAUAACGUUUUAUUAAAUUUUGCUUCCUGAGGGGGUGGUCGUGGGUACCGACUAUUGCCAAAUCCCAUUUACACUCAAUCUGGUACGGUCAGGGCGUUAACACUGAACACCCAAAAUGGUCAAAAAUAACGUUUUAUUAAAUUUUGCCUCCUGAGGGGGUGGUCGUGGGUACCGACUAUUGCCAAAUCCCAUUUACACUCAAUCUGGUACGGUCAGGGCGUUAACACUGAACACCCAAAAUGGUCAAAAAUAACGUUUUAUUAAAUUUUGCUUCCU